GGGGCUGUAGCUCAGUUGGGAGAGCAUCUCGUUCGCAACGAGGGGGUCGGGAGUUCGAUUCUCCCCAGCUCCACCA
rnacentral:tRNA from 1 species